AUGUGAAGGUUCCUCAUGUCUUCAUGGAUGGAUUUCUGGAAUGAAUCAAGAGUUUCUUCAAGAGUACGUUGAAAAAGCUGGAGCGUGAAGGAAUUUCCCUGCUGUGGAUCCAGCUGAAGGGCCUUAUUUGGUUGUGAAAUUCCUCCAUUUACUACUGGAAGAAUUCCUUGUUCUGUCACAGCCGAUGUGUCAGACCUUGACAACAAGCUGCUCAAAAGCUCUUCUCUGGUCUCAGCUCCUGUUUUCUUCAUUUUAGGAGAACUCAUUGAAAGGGAGUUCCCAUCAUUGAAGGAGGAAGUUGCGCUUAUUCUCUCCGCAUAAGUUGAAAAUCUACGAGGAAGGGUC
rnacentral:misc_RNA from 1 species